AUUUGAAAGUGAUUGAGAAGGCAGAGAUAGCUUACAUUAUGAAGUUGAUUAUGCACAUUUGUAAAGGUGUAUGAACACAACUUUCAAAGCUAAAUUUUUUCUUUUAUUUUUUUAAAACAACAUUUGCUCAAUUUUUUUUCUUCAAAAUGUGCAUAAGUAGUUUUUAGCCUUCUUGUUGUAGUAAGUAGCCCUAAAAUGCUAAAAUAAGUAAUUUUAGGCUUGUUGGUAUACAUAUGCUAAUAUUUAGUAAGUACCCUUAAGAUGAGAAUUUGGUGUUUUCUAACUAAAGCAGGCAGAUAGAAUAUAGAACAAAAUAAGUAACAAAAUAAGAAAUAAAAAAACAAAAAAGCAUAGCAUAUAAAGCACUUCUAAAAAAGUGCAUACUAACAAAAUAGGCACAAACAUCACUGAUACAAUAUGCAUUUGCUAGUGCAUAUUGUAAGAAACUGUUUUCAAAAAACAAAGAAACUGUUUUCAAAAAAAAAAACACAUUGAUACACACAGUAGUGCAUAUUGAAGAAAAUUAAUUCAAAUUGAAGAAAAUUAGAUUUUCUGCUGUUUAAUGAGAACAACCUUAGAUCUCUUAACUUCUUUGCUUGAUGAGAAUUGGUCUAGUAUGCUCUUAGUCGCUCCAUACUCCACUGGUUCAUCAUUGUCAUCCAACCUUAGCUUUUCACUGUUUGGCAUAUAAGAACUUCUAACUUCAUCCCAAGAUUCACUCUCCCGUUUCCCAAAAAAAUAAAAAAAAUUAGUUAGACAAUGAAUUAAUAAAAUAACUAAGUGAAUAGAUCAGGUAUGUACCUCAGACUCCUGCUCUUGACUCAGACUCCUGCUCUUGAUCUUCUUCAUCAAGCAUCCUAGAGAGAUGGUCAUGAUCAUCAUUCAAAGAAGGGCAGUAUAUUUCAACAAUUAAGGUAUAUAAAUAAAAACAGUGUACACUGGAAAGUUGAGACAAUAGAUUAAAAAAAAUUCAAACUGGAAAUCUGAAACAAUAAAUUAAAACAUAUCAAUCAAUUCCUUAUUUGGAACACUUUCAAAUUAGGUUCAACUUCUGACUUGCUAGCUUCACUGAUAGUUUGAUUAGUGUUCAACCUUCACUGUUUGUAGCUGGAUUAGGAUACCAUUUAAGACUUAAAUAUCUUGAUUCCUCCAAACUGUGAGUGACUAAUGGCAAGAAGCUUGAAUACUAUAUAGACCUGUUUCCUGUAGAAUGGUAUACACUGCAAUGCUGCAUAGUUCUCUGCUUCUUAAGACUAUACAGAAAAAAAAAUUAAAGUUAAUUAAUGUAGAGUUGAUAUUAGUAAGUCGUUAUAAAUUGCUGUUAAUUUAUCUUUUUCAUUGAUUGCUUACCUCAACUUUCCAUGUGUGUAAAUACUUCGGAAUGUCUUCCAAUGCUUCACAGUACUUUUCAUCACAUUCAGACAUCUGUUGCAUUUGCGUGUUUAUUUCUUCAUCUCUGUCUCUAGUAUUGCGUGUUUAUUUGGUAAAUAUUUUAUGCACUUAUCUCUCGAUUUACAUUUAGUACAGUAGUAUAUUUCCAGCUCUGCAAAUUUUAUUUUAUUUUAUUCUGUAGAGUAACAAAAUGGCGAUAGAUCAAGUUGAAAUCCUAGAUCUGGAUCAUGCAUGAGGGUAGUUGGUUUUUUGGUGCAGUUCUCUUAUAGAUCUGGAUCAUGCACGAGGUUAAAGGACUUCAAUUGGCGAUGGGCAUAGAGUAUACAAUUGGGCAAAUUGGACUCAAAGGAGUAUAAAAUUCCAGGUACUAAACUUCCCUAAGAAAAAUGCAGAAUCACUGAGAUGGAAGUAUAACAUAGUAUUUGUCUGCUUCCUACAGAGGCA